rnacentral:lncRNA from 1 species
CGGAAGUGAAAAUGCUAAAUGUUACAUCUCAAUUUGUUUUAUUAUGAAACGAGAGCCUAAGAAAAUCUUUAAUUCCGCAUGCAUGCGAUGGUGUACUAAAUUAAUUCAUGGCUAAUCUUUUGUUUUGGACGGUGACCCAAAAUCAUAUUUUAUGGGGAAAAUCAAUUAGAUCAACAUGACUGACGGUGACACCCAAGAAAAACAAAAACAAUUCAUGAGGGCUCCAUUACAAUAAUUAACCUUAAUUUGUUUCAUUCACCUUUAAGGUUUAGCUUUGGAAGGCCAAUCAGAACAGUAGACAUUCACCUUUAAUUCUUGAGCCUUGGUAAUAGUAUUGUUUCUGUAAUACCAAUUAUUUGCCCGGGCCCACAUAGUAAAUUAAAACAAAAAAUAAACAGUCCAACACUAGCAGGCCCAAUAGCCAAUUUUCAAACCCUAGCCAAGAAAAAUUAAUUUGCUGAAAUCCUAAACCGGUCUCCCCUACACGCGCGCCGCUCCCACGCACAGCAGCACCCACGUUCUCCUCCACAUUGACUGGCCGCAUACCUGCAAUACAACAAACAAGGAGCAAACAGCGAAAAGAAAGGGAUUCAUAGCAAAAUGGAAGGAAAGAAAUAUUUUUAUAUAUCUAUUUUCCUUUUCGCUUUGGCUAUAAAAAGUCAAUUAAAAUCUGUAUAUGGGAGGGGAUGCAGUGUAAAAGAUACGAAAAUAGAGAGAAAAGAUUGAAAUACAAAGAAAAUUGAAGGUUAAUCGCGUUUAUUCUAUUUUCAUUUUUACUUUUUUUUUCUCUUUUCUUUUUUAUUUGUUUUGUGAAAUAAUAGAAUAAAAGGGGAAAAGGGAGACUUACCUUUCGCCGGAGUCGUCGAGCUGGUGUCCCCUCCGUCGGAAUCGAGGCGUGGGCUGAACGGCGGCCAAAGGGUUAAGGAAACCCAGAAAGAAGCAGUUUUUGCUUCGAAGGGAAAGGCAAAAUAUUACCCUGAAUUUGUUUUUUUUCUAAAACUUAAAACGGAACAAAGAUGGUGCUGUUUAGUUUGGGGGUCUGCGCAUAUCAACCUUAAGUGGGAGAAUUGCGCAAUAAGUCCUCCCCCUUUGCGCCAUGUUUUAUUGAGCCAGUUAUUUCUUUUUAAUUUGGCCCAAAUAUUUUUACCUUGUUUCAAGUCGGUCCCCACAGCUGCGCACCGUUUGGGGAGAGGGAUUAUUUUCAUUUUAGGUCCCCCAUGUAGUGCGCGCGUCGCAAAUUGGUCCCCUUUCUUUUUUUAAUUUCAUUUUUUGGUUAUUUUGUUUUUUUUGCAUUUUUUUAAAAU